rnacentral:SRP_RNA from 1 species
UCGACAACGAGUUUCUCCAAGGCCCUCAGGCCUCGCUCCCCACGCUCAUGGAGGCGUGGCACGUGCUCUCGAGCCGCUACGAGGCGAGCGUGAACCGCGCCAGGUUGGACAGCAAGCGGACGGCUCCCGCAGGGGGCCGCUGAGCCCACGCU